GGAACAUCGGUGACAGGUGGUGCAUGGUUGUCGUCAGCUCGUGUCGUGAGAUGUUGGGUUAAGUCCCGCAACGAGCGCAACCCCUAUUGUUAGUUGCCAUCAUUAAGUUGGGCACUCUAGCGAGACUGCCGGUAAUAAACCGGAGGAAGGUGGGGAUGACGUCAAAUCAUCAUGCCCCUUAUGACCUGGGCUACACACGUGCUACAAUGGUUGGUACAACGAGUCGCGAGUCGGUGACGGCAAGCAAAUCUCUUAAAGCCAAUCUCAGUUCGGAUUGUAGGCUGCAACUCGCCUACAUGAAGUCGGAAUCGCUAGUAAUCGCGGAUCAGCACGCCGCGGUGAAUACGUUCCCGGGCCUUGUACACACCGCCCG
rnacentral:rRNA from 1 species